ACAGCUUCUUGGCCUUUUGGCUAAGAUCAAGUGUAGUAUCUGUUCUUAUCAGUUUAAUAUCUGAUACGUCCUCUGUAUGAGGACUACGUAUUAAAUAGAUUUUUAGAACAGGGAGGUGGAAGAGGGGCUCCACGCAUCGACCUGGUAUUGCAGUACCUCCGGGAAUGGUGCACCUCCU
ensembl:snRNA U2 U2 spliceosomal RNA